rnacentral:rRNA from 1 species
UGGGGAAUAUUGCACAAUGGAGGAAACUCUGAUGCAGCGAUGCCGCGUGAGGGAAGAGGGUUUUAGGAUUGUAAACCUCUGUCUUCAGGGACGAAAAAAGACGGUACCUGAGGAGGAAGCUCCGGCUAACUACGUGCCAGCAGCCGCGGUAAUACGUAGGGAGCGAGCGUUGUCCGGAAUUACUGGGUGUAAAGGGAGCGUAGGCGGGAUCGCAAGUCAGAUGUGAAAACUAUGGGCUUAACCCAUAAACUGCAUUUGAAACUGUGGUUCUUGAGUGAGGUAGAGGUAAGCGGAAUUCCUAGUGUAGCGGUGAAAUGCGUAGAUAUUAGGAGGAACAUCAGUGGCGAAGGCGGCUUACUGGGCUUUAACUGACGCUGAGGCUCGAAAGCGUGGGGAGCAAACAGGAUUAGAUACCCUGGUAGUCCACGCUGUAAACGAUGGAUACUAGGUGUGCGGGGACUGACCCCCUGCGUGCCGCAGUUAACACAAUAAGUAUCCCACCUGGGGAGUACGAUCGCAAGGUUGAAACUCAAAGGAAUUGACGGGGGCCCGCACAAGCGGUGGAUUAUGUGGUUUAAUUCGAAGCAACGCGAAGAACCUUACCAGGUCUUGACAUCCUGCUAACGAAGUAGAGAUACAUUAGGUGCCCUUCGGGGAAAGCAGAGACAGGUGGUGCAUGGUUGUCGUCAGCUCGUGUCGUGAGAUGUUGGGUUAAGUCCCGCAACGAGCGCAACCCCUAUUGUUAGUUGCUACGCAAGAGCACUCUAGCGAGACUGCCGUUGACAAAACGGAGGAAGGUGGGGACGACGUCAAAUCAUCAUGCCCCUUAUGACCUGGGCUACACACGUAAUACAAUGGCGGUCAACAAAGGGAUGCAAAGCCGCGAGGCAGAGCGAACCCCAAAAAGCCGUCCCAGUUCGGAUCGCAGGCUGCAACCCGCCUGCGUGAAGUCGGAAUCGCUAGUAAUCGUGGGUCAGCAUACCACGGUGAAUACGUUCCC